UGCAAGUCGAGCGGACAGAAGGGAGCUUGCUCCCGGAUGUUAGCGGCGGACGGGUGAGUAACACGUGGGUAACCUGCCUGUAAGACUGGGAUAACUCCGGGAAACCGGAGCUAAUACCGGAUAGUUCCUUGAACCGCAUGGUUCAAGGAUGAAAGACGGUUUCGGCUGUCACUUACAGAUGGACCCGCGGCGCAUUAGCUAGUUGGUGAGGUAACGGCUCACCAAGGCGACGAUGCGUAGCCGACCUGAGAGGGUGAUCGGCCACACUGGGACUGAGACACGGCCCAGACUCCUACGGGAGGCAGCAGUAGGGAAUCUUCCGCAAUGGACGAAAGUCUGACGGAGCAACGCCGCGUGAGUGAUGAAGGUUUUCGGAUCGUAAAGCUCUGUUGUUAGGGAAGAACAAGUGCAAGAGUAACUGCUUGCACCUUGACGGUACCUAACCAGAAAGCCACGGCUAACUACGUGCCAGCAGCCGCGGUAAUACGUAGGUGGCAAGCGUUGUCCGGAAUUAUUGGGCGUAAAGGGCUCGCAGGCGGUUUCUUAAGUCUGAUGUGAAAGCCCCCGGCUCAACCGGGGAGGGUCAUUGGAAACUGGGAAACUUGAGUGCAGAAGAGGAGAGUGGAAUUCCACGUGUAGCGGUGAAAUGCGUAGAGAUGUGGAGGAACACCAGUGGCGAAGGCGACUCUCUGGUCUGUAACUGACGCUGAGGAGCGAAAGCGUGGGGAGCGAACAGGAUUAGAUACCCUGGUAGUCCACGCCGUAAACGAUGAGUGCUAAGUGUUAGGGGGUUUCCGCCCCUUAGUGCUGCAGCUAACGCAUUAAGCACUCCGCCUGGGGAGUACGGUCGCAAGACUGAAACUCAAAGGAAUUGACGGGGGGCCCGCACAAGCGGUGGAGCAUGUGGGUUUAAUUCGAAGCAACGCGAAGAACCUUACCAGGUCUUUGACAUCCUCCUGACAACCCUAAAGAUAGGGCUUUCCCUUCCGGGGACAGAAUGACA
rnacentral:rRNA from 1 species